rnacentral:lncRNA from 1 species
AAUGCCGUUGCUUUCUGAUUUAUAAUCAUCAAACCUAUAGUACACCUUCUUUUUUGUGGAUUUUAUAUAUAAUUAGAUUUAAUUAACUCUAAUGUAAUAUCUCCCCAGCGACAGUAUCUAUGGAAGCCAACAAGUAAAAUGGAGAAGGCAUUCCCCCUGUUGUAUGUUCUUAAACAUUACAAACUAUAUAAUUGAAUACCACGAAUGAAAUUAAUUAUUAUAUAUUUAUAUAUAUGUGACCUUAGGAGGUUGUACCUGCUUGCCAUCUCC